rnacentral:misc_RNA from 1 species
AAGAGGCUUUCACUAACUGAUAUCAAGAUUGACAUAAAAAGAGUUCCUAAGAAGAAAACUCUAAUUGAAGCCAUGGAGAAAGCUGACGUGAGGAACAAGUGGGAGAACAGUUCCUGGGGCAGGAAGCUCAUUGUGCAGAAGAGAAGGGCCUCACUUAAUGAUUUUGAUAGGUUCAAGCUCAUGUUGGCAAAGAUUAAGAGAGGAGGAAUCAUCAGGCAGGAGCUUGCAAAGCUUAGAAAGGAGGCAGCUUAAAAUUUGCAUACUUGUCAGUUUCUCAAUUUUUUCUUGAAUGUAAAACACUUGAGAAUUUAGAUUUUUGGUUUUUCAUUUCAUUAAUGUGCUAGCUAGUUAUGGAAACCAAUAAUGACUGACCUUGCUGAAAUGCAUUAAUGACAGUUGUGGAGCG